rnacentral:rRNA from 1 species
GUACCAUAACCGACACAGGUGGGUAGGUAGAGUAUACUAAGGGGCGCGAGAUAACUCUCUCUAAGGAACUCGGCAAAAAGACUCCGUAACUUCGGGAGAAGGAGUGCCUUAUUCGUAAGGCUGCAAUGACAAGAUCCAAGCAACUGUUUAUCAAAAACACAGGUCUCCGCUAAGUCGUAAGACGAUGUAUGGGGGCUGACGCCUGCCCAGUGCCAGAAGGUUAAAGAAGUUGGUUAGCAUUAGCGAAGCUGAUAACUGAAGCCCUGGUGAACGGCGGCCGUAACAAUAACGGUCCUAAGGUAGCGAAAUUCCUUGUCGGGUAAGUUCCGACCCGCACGAAAGGCGUAAUGAUUUGGAUACUGUCUCGGAGAGGGGCUCGGUGAAAUAGACUUGUCUGUGAAGAUGCGGACUACCUGCACCAGGACAGAAAGACCCUAUGAAGCUUUAUUGUAACUUGAAAUUGAAAUUGGACUUUAGUCGCGCAGCAUAGGUGGGAGGCGUUGAAAAUAAUCUUGCGGGAAUAUUUGAGCCAUCAGUGAGAUACCACUCUUCUAAUGUUAGAUUUCUAACUUUGAACCAUUAUCUGGUCAAAGGACAGUUUCAGGCGGGCAGUUUGACUGGGGCGGUCGCCUCCUAAAUGGUAACGGAGGCGUACAAAGGUUUCCUCUGAACGGGUAGAAAUCGUAUCUAGAGUGUAAAGGCAUAAGGAAGCUUGACUGUGAGACCUACAAGUCGAACAGGGACGAAAGUCGGUCUUAGUGAUCUGACGGUACUGAGUGGAAAGGCCGUCACUCAACGGAUAAAAGUUACUCUAGGAUAACAGGCUGAUCUCCCCCAAGAGUUCACAUCGACGGGGAGGUUUGGCACCUCGAUGUCGGCUCAUCGCAUCCUGGGGCGGUAGUACGUCCCAAGGGUUGGGCUGUUCGCCCAUGAAAGCGGUACGCGAGCUGGGUUCAGAACGUCGUGAGACAGUUCGGUCCAUAUCCGGUGUAGGCGUUAGAAUAUUGAGAGGAGCCUUCUUUAGUACGAGAGGACCGAGAAGGACAUACCUAUGGUGUACCAGUUAUCGUGCCAACGGUAAACGCUGGGUAGCUAAGUAUGGAGUGGAUAACCGCUGAAAGCAUCUAAGUGGGAAGCCCACCUCAAGAUGAGUAUUCUGGUGUAAGGUCACGGGAAGACGACCCGUAAAUAGGCACGAGGUGGAAGUGCAGAGAUGUAUGAAGCCGAAGUGUACUAAUAGACCGUCGGCUUGAC